CCUACGGGGGGCUGCAGUGGGGAAUAUUGCGCAAUGGGCGAAAGCCUGACGCAGCGACGCCGCGUGGGUGAUGAAGGCCUUCGGGUUGUAAAGCCCUGUCGGGUGGAACGAACGAUCUGGCGGCGAAUAACCGCCGGGUGUGACGGUACCACCGAAGGAAGCCCCGGCUAACUACGUGCCAGCAGCCGCGGUAAGACGUAGGGGGCGAGCGUUGGUCGGAUUUACUGGGCGGACUGCGCGCGUCGGCGGCGAAAUGCCUCGGCGUAACCGAAGUCCCGCAUCCGAUACUGUCUGGCUUGAGUCUAGGAGAGGAAAGCAGAAUUCCCAGUGUAGCGGUGAAAUGCGUAGAUAUUGGGAGGAACACCGGUGGCGAAGGCGGCUUUCCGGACUAGUACUGACGCUGAGGCGCGAAAGCUAGGGGAGCGAACGGGAUUAGAUACCCCAGUAGUC
rnacentral:rRNA from 1 species